UGCGAAGGAAGAUGACGGAUUCAAAUUAUUCCCAUAUUUUGAGAGAAGAGUGUGUGUCCUGAAUGACAUUAUGAUCAGUGUGUGAACGUCAUCAUGGAAGGUCGUCUUUCCCUCAUCACUAGCCAGAGGCAGUGGCCUCAUAUGCCAAGGCCCAAUGGCACUGGGCAGUGUCUGCCCUGGCCUCCAGGACCUGCUCUGAAGUCAUCAGCUCAUGGGCCCACUGUGACGUUCAUGCAGGUCGAGGGUGGGGGCAUGGCUUGCAAAAGUCAGCAUGCCGCACGGUGGCUUGGAAGCCGGGGACACCGUCCAGGUCCCUGGGAUGGAAUGCAAGGAGGGCCACAGGAGGUCACGGAGAGUUUUGAUAAAUGGGUCCCACACAGAUCAAAUGUGUAAUAAGGCCAUCAAUGUUACCUUAGGGGUGUUCUGAGCUACACGUAACUCUCCACUGAUGUCAGAAAAUUAUCCUACAAUUUCACAAUAUUCUUCUCCAGCAAGUAUUUGUUGAGCACUUACUCAGGGACAAGCAUUUUGCUGAGGUAUUAAGUGGAAAAUAAAUGAGAUAAAUCUCUGUCCUUGGGGAUGGAAAUCUUAAAUCUUUUUUGUGGUCAAGUACAGGGCCUGAACAUCAUGCUGUGUGAAUCAAACGUUAACAAUGCAUGGUCAUACAAAAUGCUAGCAGCUGUGUUCUGUGACCCCCCUCUAUGGGCCACUGUGUGCACCCUGUCGAAAUCCCAUCUCAGUUUCCUCCGCCCCUCCCUGUGCGGGAUCUCCUCUCCACAUCUCCUGGCCAAGUCUUCCCCGUUGCUGCAUUCCCAGAUGCCUUUCAGGUGACAGACUGGUAAACUGAUCAUCAUGACACUCUGAAAACAACGCUAUGUUUCAAGGCCUUUAAAGAUAGCAAACAUUUAUUGCUGGCCUCCUGUGUGCAAGAGCUUUACCUGUAGUAUCUCAUUGUAUCCUCCCAAUACUCACAAGUGCAUUUUUAUUUUCAUUUGACAGACAAAGCCAGAGACAUUCAAUACCAUGGCCAAGGUCACAUGGUGAAAAUAUGGUGCACGUGAGACGCAGAACAAGAACCCAACAGGUGCUCAUCGCCAUCAUGGCAGGAAACAGCAAGACAACUUGACGAGGAUUUCCCGCCACUCGCCCACUGGAACUGUAAUGGAGUGUUAAUGACGCAGGAGUGCGUGAAUUUACGUGUAAUAUACACACAUACAAAUUCACCUGUAGACAGAGCAAUAUUUGGUUAUAUGAAAUGUCUACAAACAGCACAUUCUAAAAGCAGCUUUAGGAUUAUGGGUCUUUUUUUCCUCUUAAAUGUGUUAAUUUUUUUUUUUUUUAAGACGGAGUCUCGCUCUGUUGCCCAGGCUGGAGUGCAGUGGCGCGAUCUCGGCUCACUGCAAGCUCCGCCUCCCGGGUUCACGCCAUUCUUCUGCCUCAGCCUCCCGAGUUAAAUGUGUUUAAAUGUGUUAAUUUUUUUUUCUCCACUGAACAUAAAUA
rnacentral:lncRNA from 10 species